rnacentral:lncRNA from 13 species
UAUUUUGAGGACAGGGAAUAGCCAUGCUCUGACUGACAUUCUGACAUGACACUUGUGAAUGGGCCUCUAUCAGUCAGUCAGUCAGUCAGUCAGUCAGUCAGUCAGCAGUGGGGCCCCACUGGAUGUGGUGGUGUGUGUGUGUGCACUCAUUCACAGCGGGAUACAUGGGGGGCAGGAUAAAGGUGCAGAGUCAUGACCGUAAAAAGAAGCUGUUUAUGGGGCCCAUUUGGAAAGAUGCCCGUAACCCUCCGAUCCUUCCCGUGUGGAGGAUGGGUACAUGUUUUCCAGAAUUACAAUUCUCUUGUUGGAGAAAUGGAGCAUUGCGGUCUUCAUUAUCCUGACGACUUAUUUUCAUUAACAUGUUAGGACAGUAGCUACGUAGAUAUUACACAAUUCCAAAUAUUUGACACGCACUUCCUAAAGAGCAGCACAUUUGAAUGAGAGUACAUUUGUCAUGUACUGUCAUGUUGUGUCUUGUUUCUGUCCUUUCCCUUCACCCUGUCUCCCUCUGCUGGUCGUUGUUAGGUUACCUUUUCUCCCCCUCUUUCCCCCAGCUGUGCCUUGUCUCCUCCUAACUACCUCGUCACCCCUUUUCCCACCUGUUCCCUUUUUCCCUCUGAUUAGUCCUCUAUAUCUCUCUCUGUUUCUGCUCCUGUCUUUGUCGGAUUCUUGUUUGUGUUGUUCAUGCCUGAACCAGACUAUCGUCAUGUUUGCUGCAACCUUGUCUCUGAUUAGUCCUCUAUAUCUCUCUCUGUUUCUGCUCCUGUCUUUGUCGGAUUCUUGUUUGUGUUGUUCAUGCCUGAACCAGACUAUCGUCAUGUUUGCUGCAACCUUGUCCUGUUCUGUCGGAACCUGCCGGUCCAUCUGAGCCUACGUUUUGUUUUGUUAUUAAAGAAGCUCUGUUUACGUUAAUUCGCUUUUGGGUCCUCAUUCACGCACCGUAACAACAUUCAGUAUUUUUUGUGAAUCCACACUGUCAUCAUCAUCAAUGCCUAAGCAUAUUCCAAAGAUUGAUACAAAACAUGACUUUGCCUCUCUGAGUUUUUAGGACUUCUCCUGAGGGGGGAAGGGGAGCCAGGGAUUGAUUUAGAGUGUUUAUCCUAACCCUGAAUAUGGUUCUGGUGAAGGGAGGG